rnacentral:sRNA from 1 species
AAUGCUGUUUAUUUAUGAGCAAUCCUUCAAACUGUGUCAAAACUGGUGAACCAAAAGUGUGUAACCCUAAAGGAAUGAACACUCAGAGAAGACCGCUAUUCAAUUAGAGUCUAUUUUGAUCGCUGUGAUACAUUGUUACAUUAUUGUUGGCCCACCAUACCAAAACUAGAUUUAUUGGUCCACCGGGAGAAUAAAAAAUUGACAAAUUAUGGAUAAACUCGUAAGCCUACUGAAAGUUCAAGGCUUAAUCCUAAUGGUAAAUUGUCAGUAUCCAUUCAUGCUCAACAGAUUUUUGAUAGAAUUGAUUCUAUUACAAUUUACCUUUGAGUUUUUCCACUCGAAGUGAGGAAUCAUUUGCUCUUUCUUUAGCUUUAAGACUUGAGUUGAGUUAAAUGUUGAGUCAAGCAAAAAUAAGUUCAAUUCUAUUGAAUCUUCAAUUGAUCAUUGAAUUUGGUGAACUUGAAAGGGAAUACGGUUUUCCAUUACAUUCAAUUGGUAGGUGAAAAUCAUACCGAUUCAUCAUGGUUUCUUAUCUAUUUAUUUUGACUUUCCAUGAUGAUGAGAUAAAAUAAAUGCCGAGUUGGUUAACAAUAGCUUCUAAUGGUUUACAAUUUUUAUACUCCAGGCAUUUUUCAUUAGAUUUUCAGCUCACAAUUUUGUCAUUUGUUCACUUGUCAAAUUAUAUGCUCAAACCAAGUCUAAUACUAAUUUACAUUUUCCUCUUCUAUUGCAGAGUUUACAAAAUUGGAUUCAUAAAAAAUUCAUACAUUUUAGGAAAAACUAUUCGUUAUGGAAUUCGUUAUACUGGACUUCAAAACAUUUAAUGGACUAAGUUAAUUUUGCCGAGAAAACAUGAGAUCAAAUUUCAUGACAUUCACCCACAAAAAUUGUCAUUAUUACAUCCAUCAUCUUCCAUGAGUUUCGGAAAUCUAUGGGUACAGAUUGAAAAAAAUAUCUAACCAAUGUUAAUCAAAAUCUUAUCAAUCUUAUUCUCUUUUCUCGCAACUUUAACAGAAAUUCUUGAUUCAAUGGAUGAACGGAUAUCAAAAAAGCUCACCAAGACAAGAGGAGCAUCUAAAAAAAUGAUACCACAAGCCACACAUCAUUGCCCUUUCAAGUUUAUUUUUUUCAAAGCCAUCUCCAGAAGCUGAAGCUGAAACCAAGCUAUGCAGAGACCAAUCUUGUUUGAAAUCUGACUUCAUAAUUACCAGUGUCUGAAUGGUAACAACAAUUUUCAUGUCAGUUUUAGUCAAUCAGUUCUAAUGGUCACUCUGCUCAAAUACUCACCCUUUCAUUUUGAGCUGGAAAGGAGGAAAAGCAACUCGAAUCAUACACAUUGUAUUUACCAUUUCUUGAGAAAAAAAAGGUAAUCGAAUUGAGAGGGAACAGGAGCAGAAACCGUAGGAAAAGUUACUAAUUUUGCGUUUCAUCUAUAAUUAUUUUCAGUUAAUUCAAGGUAUCCAUUACUUUUGGUUCCAAGGAAAAGCAAUCAACAACAAUGUGUCUAAGACUACCAUGGGGCUGUUAACGAUCCCAUUGCUUUCGUAA